UGACGAAGCGACGCCGCGUGGGUGAGGAAGGCCUUCGGGUUGUAAAGCCCUGUCAGGAGUUAAGAAAUGUAGACUCGCUAAUAUCGGGUCUAUUUGACAAAGGCUCCAAAGGAAGCCACGGCUAACUCUGUGCCAGCAGCCGCGGUAAUACAGAGGUGGCAAGCGUUGUUCGGAAUUAUUGGGCGUAAAGAGCACGUAGGUGGAUUUGUAAGUCAGACGUGAAAGCCUUCUGUUCAACGGAAGAAUUGCAUCUGAAACUACAAACCUUGAGUGUAGGAGGGGAGAAUGGAACUUCUGGUGGAGCGGUGAAAUGCGUAGAUGUCAGAAGGAACGCCGGCGGCGAAAGCGACUCUCUGGCCCGAAACUGACGCUGAGUGUGCGAAAGCUAGGGGAGCAAACGGGAUUAGAUACCCCGGUAGUCCUAGCCGUAAACGAUGGGCACUAAGUAGAGGG
rnacentral:rRNA from 1 species